rnacentral:rRNA from 1 species
UACGUAGGGUGCAAGCGUUGUCCGGAAUUAUUGGGCGUAAAGAGCUCGUAGGCGGUUUGUUGCGUCGGCUGUGAAAUCCCGAGGCUCAACCUCGGGUCUGCAGUCGAUACGAGCAAACUAGAGUGUUGCAGGGGAGACUGGAAUUCCAGGUGUAGCGGUGAAAUGCGUAGAUAUCUGGAGGAACACCGGUGGCGAAGGCGGCAUCCUGGACCGACACUGACGCUGAGGGAGCGAAAAGCCAGGGGAGCAAACGGG